GAUGAACGCUGGCGGUAUGCUUAACACAUGCAAGUCGAACGGACUCUUCGGAGUUAGUGGCGGACGGGUGAGUAACGCGUGAGAAUCUGGCUUUGGGUUCGGGACAACCACUGGAAACGGUGGCUAAUACCGGAUGUGCCGAGAGGUAAAAGAGAAAUUGCCUGAAGAUGAGCUCGCGUCUGAUUAGCUAGUUGGUGAGGUAAAGGCUCACCAAGGCAGCGAUCAGUAGCUGGUCUGAGAGGAUGACCAGCCACACUGGGACUGAGACACGGCCCAGACUCCUACGGGAGGCAGCAGUGGGGAAUUUUCCGCAAUGGGCGAAAGCCUGACGGAGCAAUACCGCGUGAGGGAAGAAGGCUCUUGGGUUGCAAACCUCUUUUCUUAGGGAAGAACAAAAUGACGGUACCUAAGGAAUCAGCAUCGGCUAACUCCGUG
rnacentral:rRNA from 1 species